UCGCUGUGAAGAUGCAGUGUACCCGCGGCAAGACGGAAAGACCCCGUGAACCUUUACUAUAGCUUGACACUGAACAUUGAGCCUUGAUGUGUAGGAUAGGUGGGAGGCUUAGAAGUGUGGACGCCAGUCUGCAUGGAGCCGACCUUGAAAUACCACCCUUUAAUGUUUGAUGUUCUAACGUUGACCAAAACCAGACAGUAAGCAUGAAUUACAUAUCUUCAUUGACGGAGAAUGGAUGCCUGACAGUCACUGGUCGGCUGACCGUUUUCCACUCUCGAUUUACAGCCAGAAAAUGCUCUAUGAGCUGGCUUCGGAUACUGGUGCAUUCCUGCGCGUCUGUGAUGAGAGCCCGGUGGUUAACAAACGGGCCUGGAAAGAGCGCUGGGAUCAGCUGGAAAGGGAAUAUCUGAAUGAACAAAUCACGUUGCGGGGCCUGCGUGCCAGACAGGGG
rnacentral:rRNA from 1 species